AUGGUAUGGUGUUGCGACAACCGCGGCUCAAAGCCUCAAACAAACACGCACACAGAGGCAAAAAGGAGCCAGGAGAAGGAUGCGUCCAGCGGGCGACCCAGAUGGCCGGAGCCUCAGCACAUGAGCUUUCUCAGAUCCUUCACUGCUUCUCCGGCUCAGGCGAGAUCAAUCUCCUUGGUCUCGCCAGAUCGGCGAUUCUUGGGAUCCCGUUGA
rnacentral:rRNA from 1 species